UCCUUAGACGUUCUGGGCCGCACGCGCGCUACACUGACGAAGGCAACGAGCUUUCCUUUACCGAAAGGUACGGGUAAUCUUUUGAAACUUCGUCGUGCUGGGGAUAGAUCCUUGCAAUUAUUGAUCUUAAACGAGGAAUUCCUAGUAAGCGCAAGUCAUCAACUUGCGUUGAUUACGUCCCUGCCCUUUGUACACACCGCCCGUCGCUACUACCGAUUGAAUGGUUUAGUGAGGCCUUCGGAUCCGCAACUCGUUUUGUGGAGAAGUUGGACAAACUCAGUCAUUUAGAGGAAGUAAAAGUCGUAACA
rnacentral:rRNA from 1 species